rnacentral:lncRNA from 1 species
GUUCUUUAAAGCAGGAAGACAGAGAGGUGGAAGAAGCUGAAUGGCCGUGCCCGCGGGAGCAUGGCUGGUCAGACGCCGGGUCUGAGGAGUACCGAGGAGCUGGAGGUGCUCUCUUCCAGCAGACUCCCCACUGGGCCCAAGGAAAGCCUGUGACCUGGGGCAAAAUGGACGUCUCCUGGAUCCUUGAGUCACCACGUGGAGAAGAACUAUUGACCACUCUUGCUGGGCCUUACAGGUGCAAGAAAUAAACUUCUGCUUCUUACAAGGUUAAUUUAUUGCCAGAGCAUGGCAUGGCAUAGCUGUGGCAAAUACAACUGGGUAAGGACUUGGGCACCAAUUUAAAACUACAAUACAAGGCAAUCUUUCCUUUGUACAGUAGUAUAUAGGACCAUAAAAUGACCACGCAAUCUGGACCAUGCAAAGCAAUCUUAGUGAUUAAGAGGGAGAACACACCCUAAAUCUCCUCUGAGAAGGGAACAAGGACUGAGUCUUGAAGAGAAACCUGCAAGUUUUUCUUAAUAUACUUCUGUGUUACUGGAUAGUUGGUAAUGAGCGUUAGAAUUUUUAAAAGAAGAAAAACACAUGCAGAAAAAGAGAAAGUCAUCUGACAAUACCAUUGUUUUUCUAAAGAAAUACUUAAAAUGCAUAUACAUGAAAAUAUUUCAUUGGAUUAUUAUUGAAUUAUCUUUAUUAGAUUUUUUAAAUUAUGAAGCAAUACAUGUUUGCAACAAUGAAACAAGCCAAAGAUGAUGAAGAAAAUGUUACCGUUUCUGGAUUUGUUCCGUUUCACUGCUCUAUGUGAAUAUUUGUGUGUCAAUGCCAUACUGUUUUGUUAAAGCAGUUUUAAAGCUGUAGUAUCCCCUGAGGCAAACUACUCCCCUCACACCAUUCUUUUAUAAGUUGUUCCAGGCUAUUCUCAGACUUUGUUCUUUUCAAUUACCUUUAAGAUAUAUUUAUUUAAAGAUAUAGUAUAGGGAUUCCAUUUAAAAUCACAUUUCAUUUUCAUUUUUAUACAAUUUUGACUUUCUAUUUAGGUAUGUGAUAUGUCUCUCCAAUGUUGUUUUAAUUUCUUUAAUAAAGUUGUAUAAUGUUCUUCAGUAGGUGUUAGAUUCUUCUUGCUAGUUUUAUUUUUAUUCCUAUGAAUAUUGCAGGAUUUUAAAUAACUAAGAUGAGUAGGAGAUUUCCAUUUUCAUUUCUAACUGAAUUUUGAUAAUAGAGAAAGGCUAUUUAUUUUUGUAUAUUUACCUUGUAUCCAGCAAACCUGCUACAUGUUCUACUCAAUACUAAGUUUUAAUUAGUCUCUCAGGUUUUCAAGAUAUGCAAUCAACCAUGAUAAUUUUGUCUGUUUGUAAUAUUUAUAUUUUUAAUUUAAUUUUCAUGUUUUAUCUUAGUAAUAAAAGCACACAGU